rnacentral:rRNA from 1 species
CGGACGGGUGAGUAACACGUGGAUAACCUACCUAUAUGACUGGGAUAACUUCGGGAAACCGGAGCUAAUACCGGAUAAUAUAUUGAACCGCAUGGUUCAAUAGUGAAAGACGGUUUUGCUGUCACUUAUAGAUGGAUCCGCGCCGCAUUAGCUAGUUAGUAAGGUAACGGCUUACCAAGGCAACGAUGCGUAGCCGACCUGAGAGGGUGAUCGGCCACACUGGAACUGAGACACGGUCCAG